UAAAAUUAUAUUUCAAAGUUAGCAGUUAUUAAAACGCGAAUAAGCAGAAAACCAAACUCCGACUCACCUUUUAUAGAUUAUUUCUAUUUAAUGUAAUGGAGGACGGUAGUGUGAGAAAGUAAAAUUUUCAAUCUCCUAAAAUAAUCUGAGAUUAUUGCUGCAUAAAAGGUGUGGGUAUUUUAUAGCAAGGGCUUGAUUAUCGAGCGGCCAUUUAUAUCCAUUUGCAGGUCCACACAGCAAACAUUUGCACUGGGUACUUUUUGGUCAAAUCUUCGGCCAUGUUAAAUACACCCGUUAAAUAUGAGGCAUGACGACGAAUAAAGGUGCCGUGCAACAAAAUUCUAGAAAUGGACUACGGCGCUAUGCGUGAAAAAUGCGUUGUCAGUUAUGCGUUGCGCGUUGCGUUUAAGGAGUGGUGAAUAGUUUCUUAGCCGAUAAUCGGGUGGAGGUGGCAAGAUUCGGUUCAGAAAUGAACUACGGGGAAGGAUAUGUUUGGGUGGAAUUUAGGUGGAAUCCAGCCGGGGAAAAGUCUCGAAACGUGUUUAUCAAUUAAUAUAAAAGGUGAUCGCAAAUUUGAAUCCCCCAAAUUCUCCCUAUUAUUCUACUCACGUAACAGUUUAUUAUAUUUAAACUACUCCUGUCGCGUACUUAACCACUGCAAUCAGCCACAAAGGCGUGCACUCCAACCUUUAACAAAAUAUUUAACCACAUUGAACUUAAAUCGGGCCGAAAACAAUUAAAUUAUUAGCAACGGUUUUAUUUCCGCCUUUUACUCAAAACAUAACACCUACUAAUUUAAUCUGACGUUUUUUUUAUUUAAAUAAGAUUUUGUAACGCGUAUAAUAUUUUUUUAUUUUAUUUUCCUAGGAUUAAACUGGUAUUAUACGGAAAUUUGUUUGAUUAUAUAAACCCAAUUAAACAAAUAUAUUUGUUUAAAUAAAUUAAAUAGAAAACAACGUUUAUAACAACUCCAAUUUGAAAAAGAAAAAUUUAAUAUUAUAUUUAUUAUAAGCGUUAUUUUCUAUAAUUAUAUUUAAACAAAUAUAUUUAUUUAAUUAGGUUUAUUUAAUCGAAUAGGGUUGCGUAUAAUACCAAUUUAAUUUUGGGGUAAUUAAAACAAAAAAUAUUAUACGCGUAGCAAAAUUGUAUUUAAAUAGGAAACCGUAUUAUAUUAAGUAAAUAAAUAUUAUAUGUUUAACAAAACGCGUAAUUAAAACCGUUAUAGCUAAUUAAACGGGUUUUAGCCUAAUUUAAAUUCGGUAUAAUUAAAUAUUUUGUUAAAGUUUUAAAUGUUAAAUAUUGGGGUUAAUUGCGGUGGGUUAGUACGCGAUAAAAUAAAUUAAUAAAAAACGACGACCGGUUAAUUUCACGGUACAAAAUGCGGUUUACGUUAAUAAAAAGUGGUUUUUGUCACGUGUAAAUUUAUUAAUGCCUAAAUGCUAGCGUACAACCCUAGGGGCUGGGUUUUGCUAAAUUUAUAAACUCGCGUUACGUAAACGCAAUAGGAACGCCGCCUAUAAAUAGGGGCUCCUAAAUCCUAAAAAUAACAGGUUAGUCCUAAAUUUUUAAAAAUCAGUUUUUAAUCCAAAUGCUAUUAUUAUAAUGCUAUUGUGGAUUAUUAUACGUUGUAUUAUUACCCUGUAUUUUGUUAAUUACCGUAUAUUUAACCUAUAUCCAAUCCCCGGUUAUAACAAUUUUAAUUUUUUUAUUGGGUUAUGUUAAUUAUAUGCAUUAUUUUGCAUGUAAUAA
rnacentral:sRNA from 1 species